UUUGACAUCCACCCCUUGGCGCUCAUAUGACAUUGUGCAGUUGGGAGUGCCGUAAAACCUUUCUAAAACGAACAGUCUUUUCCUGCUCAGUGCCAAGUCGCAAACGUCCAGCAAGAAGAAGUGGAAGAAGCCGCUGUCUCCCCGACCCUACACCCCUCAGCACACCAACAUAGCAGAGGUCACAGAGUACAAGGAAGACCUUUCCAAAGAUGCGUUGUUCCGCCAACUGUGUGCCCUCAGCUGGAUCCUGGAUGCCAUGAACAUUGAGCAGGGAUCCGCCAUGGGACCCAUCUCCACCUGCUGGAGUCACCUGGAGAUCGGUGGCUCCAAGAUUUCCUCUAAACGAGCGAGAGAUGAAAAGAAGGCGGAGAGCGACUGGGAGAAAUGGCUGACCAACCAACAGAUGGGACGGGUAAGAAAUCUGUCUGUAUGUUUUGGAGCAUACGUUUGUAUCUGAUAGUGUUGAUUGAGACAAUCUUUGUCUAUUAUUUUGAGACAUUCCUGUCUGUUAUGUUGAGACAGUCUUUCUGAAAGUGUUAAGAAAAUCUUGUCUAUUAUGUUAAAACAAUUUUGUCUAUUAUUUUGAGACAUUCUUGUCCAAUAUUUUGAGACAAUCUUUUCUGAAAAUGUUGAGAAAAUCUUGUC